GUUUGGGAGGAGUUUACGAACUCCGUUUGGUCAAGGAUAGUGCCAGGAAAAGCUAGUAAUGUGAUGAAGAUAUCUUACCCGUACCCGAAACCGACACUGGUAGGGAGGUUGAGAAUACCAAGGGGCGCGAGAUAACUCUCUCUAAGGAACUCGGCAAAAUGGCCCCGUAACUUCGGAAGAAGGGGUGCCCACGAGAGUGGGUCGCAGUGAAGAGAUCCAGGCGACUGUUUUACCAAAAGCACAGGUCUCCGCAAACUCGAAAGAGGACGUAUGGGGGCUGACGCCUGCCCAGUGCCGGAAGGUUAAGGAAGUUGGUCAGUGGCAACAUGAAGCUAGCGACUGAAGCCCCGGUGAACGGCGGCCGUAACUAUAACGGUCCUAAGGUAGCGAAAUUCCUUGUCGGGUAAGUUCCGACCCGCACGAAAGGCGUAACGAUCUGGAUGGUGUCUCAGAGAGAGACUCGGCGAAAUAGGAAUGUCUGUGAAGAUACGGACUGCCUGCACCUGGACAGAAAGACCCUAUGAAGCUUUACUGUAGCCUGGAAUUGUGUUCGGGCUUGGCUUGCGCAGGAUAGGUGGGAAGCGAUGAACUUCUCCUUGUGGGGAGAAGGGAGCUAACGGUGAGAUACCACUCUGGCGAAGCUAGAAUUCUAACUCAUCUCCGUCAGCCGGAGAGAGGACAGUUUCAGGUGGGCAGUUUGACUGGGGCGGUCGCCUCCUAAAAGGUAACGGAGGCGCGCAAAGGUUCUCUCAGCACGCUUGGAAACCGUGCGGCGAGUGUAAAGGCAAUAAGAGAGCUUGACUGUAAGACCGACAAGUCGAACAGGUACGAAAGUAGGCCUUAGUGAUCCGACGGUUCAGCAUGGAAUGGCCGUCGCUCAACGGAUAAAAGUUACUCUAGGGAUAACAGGCUGAUCUCCCCCAAGAGUUCACAUCGACGGGGAGGUUUGGCACCUCGAUGUCGGCUCACCCAGCCUGGGGCGGAAGUACGUCCCAAGGGUUGGGCUGUUCGCCCAUUAAAGCAGUACGUGAGCUGGGUUCAGAACGUCGUGAGACAGUUCGGUCCAUAUCCGGUGCAGGCGUAAGAACAUUGAGAGGAGUCCUCCUUAGUACGAGAGGACCGGGAGGAACGAACCGCUGGUGUACCAGUUAUUGUACCAACAGUAGACGCUGGGUAGCCAAGUUCGGAGCGGAUAACCGCUGAAAGCAUCUAAGUGGGAAGCCCACCUCAAGAUGAGUGUUCUCACUACUUUAAGUAGGUAAGGUCACGGGCAGAACACCCGUUUAUAGGCUUUAAGUGGAAGUACAGUAAUGUAUGUAGCUGAGAAGUCCUAACAGACCGAGGGCUUGGC
rnacentral:rRNA from 1 species